GAAGGACAUUCCCCAAGAAGGGCCAGACGUGUGUGGUGCACUACACAGCCAGUCUUGUGGGAAUGAAACAGGGGGCUUGGAAGGCCAACUCCUCCCCUCUUAUACCAGCAAGAGGCAUCCAUGGUGUCAGCCUCUAGGUGAGGACAUUCUAGAUGAGUUCUUCAGGACUACUGGCAGGAAGAUCAUGAGCAGGUGUUAGUUCCAAGGGGGGAAUGCUCCAGAAUGGGAAGAAAUUCGAUUCAUCCAGAGACAGAAACAAACCUUUCAAGUUCAGAAUUGGCAAACAGGAAGUCAUCAAAGGUUUUGAAGAAGGAGCAGCCCAGCUGGGUCCUCUUUCUCCUCUCCCCAUCUGCCCCCAUCCCUGCUAGAUGAGCUUGGGGCAGAGGGCGAAGCUGACCUGCACCCCUGAUGUGGCAUAUGGAGCCACGGGCCACCCCGGUGUCAUCCCUCCCAAUGCCACCCUCAUCUUUGACGUGGAGCUGCUCAACUUAGAGUGAAGGCAGGAAGGAACUCGAGGUGGCUGGAGACGGUUGCUGCUCCCCUCCCAGCCUGCUCUGCCACUGGGACGGCUCCUCCUGUCUGGGGCUCUUGAUCAGUGCGCUCGCCUCACUGCCCCCCAGCAUCAUCCAGCCUCUCCGCCCACGUUGCUCUGUAUGUGUUCGCCACUGCUCAUGCGCAUCCUUGCUUGAGGAAAACUUCGGUUGCAGAUCGAAACAUUUCAGGUCGUGCAUUUUGUGUGAUGCAUGUAGUAGCCAUCCCUGACCCCCAGAACGCGGAUUUCUCGUUUGCACAAUCUACACUGCCUUACCUUCACUUAAGCCAGACACACAAGGUGCUCAGACAUGAAACGUACAUGGUGUACACAGAGGGACUUGAGCCAGUUACCUUUGCUGUCACUUUCUCUCUUAUAAAUCUGUUGGCUGCUCACUUCAACAAUGUUCCCUUUGGAAAUAAUAUGUGAAAUAAAGGCUCUGUGCUUGGCAAA